rnacentral:rRNA from 1 species
UACGGGGGGGGCAAGCGUUGUUCGGAAUUACUGGGCGUAAAGGGCGCGUAGGUGGCCAACUAAGUCAGACGUGAAAUCCCUCGGCUUAACCGGGGAACUGCGUCUGAUACUGGAUGGCUUGAGUUUGGGAGAGGGACGCGGAAUUCCAGGUGUAGCGGUGAAAUGCGUAGAUAUCUGGAGGAACACCGGUGGCGAAGGCGGCGUCCUGGACCAAUACUGACACUGAAACGCGAAAGCCAGGGGAGCAAACAGG